UCCCUGGUGGCUCAGAGGUUAAAGCGUCUGCCUGCAAUGCAGAAGACCCGGGUUUGAUCCCUGGAUUGGGAA
rnacentral:tRNA from 1 species